AUUGUGAGGAAAGAGACAGAAGCUGGUGAAUUACAAUGGUCAAAUCAGGAUCUAUUGGCGUUCUGUUGAUGGCUCUCCUUUUUGGGAGUGGAGACUUCUUAAAAAUGGAAAGAGGCGAUACAAAUGUCACUGAGCGAUGUUCUAUGCCUAAACCGUGUAAUGUGUACGGCUUCACUAACUGGUACAAAGUGGGCAAUGUCUGUGUCAAAUACUUCAACAGACCUCUCAACUUUACUGAUGCUGAGUUCAGCUGUAGGAAAACAGCCCCUGGUGCACACCUGGUGUCGGUGCAUAAAAAAGAGCAUAAUGAUAAGCUGCUCUGCAUUGUGAAAAGAUUCAACCCAAAUAACCUGCGCAUCUGGCUUGGAGCUUUUGAACUUUUCAAGUCUGGUCAAUUUCUUUGGCUUGAUGGAUCCUACUGGGAUUAUGAAAUCUGGACACGUGGUGAACCCAACCAUAUGUACACCAGCACAGAGGAAUGUGUGGAGAUGAACUGGAAAGGUGGGGACACGCUCCAUCUGCAUUCUGUGCAGCUUGAGCUCGAGGCCGUGGGGAAGCAGAUUUGCGACCUGGAAGUGAGGCAGGCCCAGCUGAGAGAGCGGAGAGCCACGCUGGAAUCAUCCCGGGCUGACACUCACAAGUCCGGGGUAAGUAUACAGCGUGCUGCUAACAGUCCCACCACGUCUACUCCGUGUGUUUCUCUGCACAGGCCCGGUGCACCCAGGAUGCAAUCUUCCCAGAUGUCCUUCACUCCGACGGCGGGACACCAUGGACCCGGGUGCAUCCACAGCGGAGGAUGCGAUCAGGGCCCCGGGCGAUGACUUCUCCCCCUCCUGCCUUCGAGAUCUCCAUCCGGAACCGCUUCGCUCCCCUCCGCGAGACAGGACGUGACGCUGUGAUCAUCGGAGAGUCCAUCGUCCGACACGUCCGUGCUAUGUUAAACGAAGGUAAAGUGCACACUCAUUGUUUGCCUGGUGCUUGUGUUAUCGAUGUUUCUGCGCAGAUACCUGCAAUCCUGAAGGCCGACGAGAGCCCCAGAGCAGUCGUGCUUCACGCCAGGGUUAACGGCACCACGCUGCGGCAGACGGAGACGCUGAAGAGGGACUUCAACAGCCUGAUCUAGACGAUUCACAGCACGACGCCCGCGGCGACGAUCAUCGUGUCAGGACCACUGCCCACGUAUCGACGAGGACACGAAAGGUUCAGUAGACUUUUUGCUUUAAAUGGAUGGUUGUUGUCAUGGUGUAAAGAACAGAAACUGCUAUUUGUUAUAACUGGAACUUUUCUGGGAGCAUCCUAGGCUGUUUCGCGCUGAUGGAUUACACCCCAGCAGAAUCCGAGCGGAGCUGCUUUCCGACAACAUCUCCAGGACACUUCGCUCCAUGUGACUACAUGGAAUUCACCGCUCACUUCAGCCCACCGGCCACUCCAGUUUCCUAGUCCGGCAACCAUGCCUUUCACCCCAAACUUAGAGGGGAACCAAAGGAGGAGAAGGUGGUUGGUGCUAUACCCUAGGCUUACUCCAGUGUCAGCUUUAGCCCCUUAGCUUGCUCCAGUGGUGGCUCCAGCUCCUGAGUUUGCCCAAGUACCAGCUCUUCAAAAGCGACUUACUGUGCCUGGUCCUCCAGAGCACCCUCCAGUGCCAGCUCGUAAGUGGCAGUCCCUGAAUCUAGCCCAGAGAGGGAUUCUGUUCCUGAGUUUAGCCCCCGAGGUCUCCUGUCCCCGAGUAUGACCAGUGAUGGCUCCAGUCAUAGCAACCUGAAAUGCCUAUUUGAGUUUUAGCCCAUUUUGUUCUCCCUUG